rnacentral:rRNA from 1 species
UACGGAAGGCAGCAGUGGGGAAUAUUGGACAAUGGGCGAAAGCCUGAUCCAGCCAUGCCGCAUGAGUGAAGAAGGCCUUCGGGUUGUAAAGCUCUUUUAGUGAGAAAGAUAAUGACGGUACUCACAGAAGAAGUCCUGGCUAACUCCGUGCCAGCAGCCGCGGUAAUACGGAGAGGGCUAGCGUUAUUCGGAAUUAUUGGGCGUAAAGAGCGCGUAGGCUGAUUAGUAAGUUAAAAGUGAAAUCCCAAAGCUUAACUUUGGAAUUGCUUUUUAAAACUGCUAGUCUAGAGAUUGAAAGAGGAUAGAGGAAUUCCUAGUGUAGAGGUGAAAUUCGUAAAUAUUAGGAGGAACACCAGUGGCGAAGGCGUCUAUCUGGUUCAAAUCUGACGCUGAGGCGCGAAGGGCGUGGGGAGCGAAACAGGGAUUAGGAUACC